GUGUGUGCCUGUGGGGCCCACUUGUUUUGGUUUUGUUCUCCGUAGCCUUAGUCCAUCUCUCUCCUUUUUUUCUCCCUCAUCCCAUGUGAACUCAUCUCCCUCACCUCUGCCGGUUUUCCUUUACCUCUCUCAUUCUCGGUGCUCAUCUUCGACAGGAUCACACAUUACAUACACACGACAACCCCGAGGACUUCACCAGCACCCCUAACAUCUAGACCUCCUCCUUUCUCUCUCUCUUUCCCUUCGAUACAUCUCGGCACUAUACAGUCACAGUGCUUGUGACUCCGGCGAGUUUUCAAAUAUUCCGACUAAGAGAUAACUCGGGGGAUUAUAUUUCCAGUUUUCCAGCAAGGUUCUGUGGCUUGCAGGCCAUUUCCCGGCCGAUCCUGAUGUCAACUUCAUUCCAUUUUGGUACAACUCGAAUCCUUAUUCUCUUACCUUUGAUUUGGCCUUUUAAUGGUAGUUUUUGGUUAAGGUUUAACCCCGGAUCGAAGCCAGGGAAGUUUUCUCAGCGAAAACUCAAGAAAACCAGCGUUCUUCUCCGGUGACUCAAGCGGCUUGCGAGGCCCUUGUGCCAUGGAAACCCCCGGCCCUUUAAGGGUAGCCCAAACCCAAACCCCUUGAGUUGAGGCGCUUGGGCCAUUCAGCUAGGGCCUUCGGCCCAUUAACCUAAAACCCAAAACCCUUUUGGCAACCUAGGCCUUGGGUUGUGUAAGAAUCCCAGGCCCAAACCUCUUAAAGCUCAACCCUUUAAAAGCCUAACCCAAACCUUGGAAAGAAUCGGCCCAACCCAACUGAUGGAAUAUUCCUUUAGGGAAUAUUCCCCUGUUGACUUUUCUGAAAUUUAACCGGGACCCUUUUUAGCGUAAUUCGACGUCCUGAAUUCGUUUUUGAUGUCCAUUUUCCUAAAUUCAAUCAUUUGAAUAGAGUUUUAUUGAUUGGACCCUUUAUGUGCUUAGGUACAAUUAUUAACGGCGAUUCUAUCCAGCUUACUUCAUGCAGCUCUUCGACAACGGAGUAUCUGUGAAUGGACCCCUUCUAAAAUGCAUGUUUUAAUAGUAGAAAUGCAUACAUGAAAAGCAUGAUUUAAUAAUUACGUUUUAUGAAACGUUUUAUGAGAUAUUAUGCUUACUACGAAUAUUUUGAAUUAUCAUAUUUUAUCGAACUCAUGUUCUUUGUAGUAUAGAUGAUAGAUGACUUUAUACUGCUUAUGAACAUGCUUUUGCACACUUCUUUAUAGUAUAGAUGAUGGAUGACUUUAUA